rnacentral:rRNA from 1 species
AUGCAGUAUAGGCCACUAUUAAUUCUCCGUCGUCGAAAUUACAGCGACAGCUGCAGCACGAGGAUUACGGAUCGAUCGAUCGAUACGCAAAGGUUCAUUCACGACGCGGGUGCGGUGAUUAAUUGCCUAACCAGACCAGCCACGCGGACAUGCUUCUCAUGCACAUGCAUACGUAGAUCUAGCCAGCCGAGUAUAGAUCGGGAAAAAGGAUACUCAUAUCAUACCAGAUUAGUGACCAAACGCGCAAAACAAAUGCGGAUAUCUUGCGGGACUAAUGCUGAAAUCCGCAGAACUAAUGCGCGAUAUCUAUCUAUCUAUCUGGAACUAGACGACGAGUCGGGUUAUUAA